rnacentral:rRNA from 1 species
UACGUAGGGUGCAAGCGUUGUCCGGAAUUAUUGGGCGUAAGAGCUCGUAGGCGGUUUGUCGCGUCUGCUGUGAAAACUCGGGGCUUAACCCCGGGCCUGCAGUGGGUACGGGCAGACUAGAGUGCGGUAGGGGAGACUGGAAUUCCUGGUGUAGCGGUGAAAUGCGCAGAUAUCAGGAGGAACACCGGUGGCGAAGGCGGGUCUCUGGGCCGAUACUGACGCUGAGGAGCGAAAGCGUGGGGAGCGAACAGG